AUUCCUAAGGGGAGGAGACUGGGGGAUUCGGGGGUAUGAUAUUCCUAAGGGGAGGAGACUUGGGGAUUCGGGGGUAUGAUAUUCCUAAGGGGAGGAGACUGGGGUAUUUGGGGGUAUGAAAUUCCUCAAGGGUGGGGGGGGGAGGGCAUGAGGUGGGUGACUUUUCUUUGGUUUCAUUCACUUCAAGGGCAAGAAAAGAAAUGGAAACUCAAAACCUCGUUAGCGCUGAUAAUCCAAAUAGCGUAUCAUAGAAGAAUUCCUAAAGAGAGCGUCAGAACCUUUUUUAGUAUUAAAUUUACAGUAAAGGAAGUAGGUCAAGGGCAAACAAAUAAAGGAUAAGAGAAAAAUAUAAGUCCGCUAAUUACUCCCCCUUUAAAAGAUUGUAUAGAGUGGCCAAAAGAGAGGUCAAUUUCGGGAGGAGAUUUGUUAGGCUAAUAGGAAAGAAAAAAGCCCUCUAAUCACUUCCCUUAUAAAAGAGUGUAUAGAUGAGUGGUUACAAAAGAGAGGUCAAUUUAGGGAGGGGAGUUGUUAGGGUAAGUAAGGAAAAAUAAAUGUCCUCUAAUCAAUGUUCCUAUAAAAGAGUAUUAGAUGAGUGGUCAAAAGAGAGGUCAAUUUCGAAAGGACAGUUGUUAGGCUAUUAAAGGAAAAAAAAGUCCUCUAAUCAAUGUUCCUAUAAAAGAGUGUUAGAUGAGUGGUCAAAAGAGAGGUCAAUUUCGAAAGGACAGUUGUUAGGCUAAUAAAGGAAAAAAAAUCCUCUAAUCAAUGUUCCUAUAAAAGAGUGUUAGAUGAAUGGUCAAAAGAGAGGUCAAUUUCGAAAGGACAGUUGUCAGGCUAAUAAAGGAAAAAAAAGUCCUCUAAUCAAUGUUCCUAUAAAAGAGUGUUAGAUGAAUGGUCAAAAGAGAGGUCAAUUUCGAAAGGACAGUUGUUAGGCUAUUAAAGGAAAAAAAAAGUCCUCUAAUCAAUGUUCCUAUAAAAGAGUGUUAGAUGAAUGGUCAAAAGAGAGGUCAAUUUCGAAAGGACAGUUGUUAGGCUAUUAAAGGAAAAAAAAGUCCUCUAAUCAAUGUUCCUAUAAAAGAGUGUUAGAUGAAUGGUCAAAAGAGAGGUCAAUUUCGAAAGGACAGUUGUUAGGCUAUUAAAGGAAAAAAAAAAAAGUCCUCUAAUCAAUGUUCCUAUAAAAGAGUGUUAGAUGAAUGGUCAAAAGAGAGGUCAAUUUCGAAAGGACAGUUGUUAGGCUAUUAAAGGAAAAAAAAAGUCCUCUAAUCAAUGUUCCUAUAAAAGAGUGUUAGAUGAAUGGUCAAAAGAGAGGUCAAUUUCGAAAGGACAGUUGUUAGGCUAUUAAAGGAAAAAAAAAAGUCCUCUAAUCACUGCCCUUGUAAAAGAGUAUAUAGAUGAGUUGUUACAAGAGAGGUCAAUUUCGGGAGAAGAGUUGUUAGGAUAAUUAAAGGAAAAAAAAAGUCCACUAAUCACUGUCCCUGAAAAAGAGUGUACAGAUGAGAGGUCAAAAAAGAGGUCAAUUUCGGGAGGCGAGAUGUUAGGUUAAUACUUGAUGGUGAUAACGAGAAAUACUUUGCGAUUUGAGCUCUGAAUCUGAAUGUUCUUCCAGUUUUCGCUUUUGUGGAGCAGCGACAUGGUAGGCUAUUUCUGUAACCUUAUCUUUUUUUCACAUCGGGCUACCUCCGUUGGCUUAAAAAUGAUAUUCUUCUGAUAAUGUUAUAACACUUCUUUUCUUUUUCUUUUCAAGCAAACUAUAUGAUAAUCUAAAAUGUUUUGCUAGGAGAAAGAGGCUCUAGAAAAUAACACUGGCAAGCUUCGAACUAAUGCCCAUAUUCUUAAACGUAUUGGACUCCAUUACGGCUAUUUCCCAAGGACACAGAGAAGAUUAACCAGCUUUUCAUAGGUACUGUUUUUCCCGUUCAUGGUGCAGAGGUCAUGUAAAACUAUCACCAUGAUCACGAUACACUCCAUGAAAAUCCUAUCAAAUUCAACGAGAGGCUUUUCAAAGGGUCGAACUGAGGUGUCGAUACAUUUAAAAAUACUGUAUAAUAGAAGAAUUCCUAAAAAGAGAGAGUCAGAACCUUAUUUAAGAGAGCAAGAAGAUCGCCAGUAGAACGCCCUUUGCGGAACCCCUACUGGCGAUCAGAUAGAAGGUCAGAAGUGGAUAGGUGCUUUUGAAUCUUCCGGUUAAGUAUUAAUUUUACAGUAAAGGAAGCAGCUCAAGGGCAAACAAAUAAAAGAUAAGGUUUUCAUGAGUGUUUUUUCUCGUUCAUGUUGCAGGAGUUGUGUAAAAUUAUCACUAGGAUCACAAAACACUCCACUCGAUACGUAUAAGAAUAUGGGGAUUAAUUCGAAGCUUGAAAGUGUUUAUUUUUUAUAGCCUCUUUCUCCUAGCAAAACAUUUUAGAUUACCAUAUAGUUUGCUUGAAAAGAAAAUGAAAAGAAAAUAGUGUUAUAACAUCAGAAGAAUAUCAUUUUUAUACCAACGGAGGCGAACUUUGGUGCGGAUACAUUUAAAAAUACGGCUUGAUUGUUUUGAUGGCAGUGAAUGAGUAAGCGAUUAAUGAAUAAGCGAGUUCCAAUGUUGCCCAAGUUUGCUUCAAUGUAUUAAUUCCUCGUCUGAAAUACUGGUUUACUUUCCUUUCCUAUUUUGUGUGUAACGAUUGAUUGAUUGAUUGAUAGUUUAUUGUUGCAAGUAAACAAGAAAAGAGAAUGGAGGAGCAUGCAAUGUUUGAAUUUUCUUUAGAGUUAUAAUUUCUCACAGUUUUGGUAAUAUCCCUAGUUAUGUCAUGGUAACUGUACAUAUUGAUUUUGCGGGGAGGGGAAGAUGAAGAAUGUGUUAAUUAUUAAGAUACAAAUAUUCAUACAUUAUUUUCGGGGUAAUUCACCACAUGACAAACUUUACAUACAAAAUCUUUAUAUUGUGAUGACGACAAAUACUGGUUUACUUUCCUAUUUUCUGUGUAACAUGUUUGAAUUUUCUUUAGAGUUAUAAUUUCUCACAGUUUUGGUAAUAUCUCUAAAGUUAUGUCAUGCUGAUAGUUUAUAUUGAUUUUGUGGGGGAGGGGAAGAUGAAAAAUGUCUUAAUCCUUACGAUGCAAAUAUUCAUACAUUAUUUUCAGGGUAAUUCACCACAUGACAAACUUUACAUGCAUAACCUUUAUAUUGUGAUGACGAGAAGUGGAGGCUGUUAAAAUACAUUGGUACAUUUUUUUUUCAAAUCACAAUACAUUUUUUGGAUAUUUAUUAUGGUGGUUGCCUAUGGAAGGUGCAUCAGUUAACCUGGAAAACUGUUUUUUGUCAAGAUAUAUUUAAUUUCGUAGUGUUUAUGAGAGAGAUUUAUGUGGCCGUGUGGAGCUCUUACACACACACACACACACACACACAGAAGUACAAACACACACAUACACAAACAUUCUCAUACAUAUACGCACAUACCUACCUACCAACCUAAUACGCACACACACAUACAUACAUACAUACACACAUAUACAUACGUACACCAACACAUAUCCACUCAUCUCGCUAAAUUAAACAACCUUAUCAUAGGGUCUAGAGAAGGAAGGGGAGAGAGAAAAAUCGAUUCCAUCCCACAUCCCCUCAUUCUCUUCCCCUCUUCUCCUCUCUCUUCCCUUCUUCUCCUCUCCCCCCCAAACCCCGCUAAGGGCCCCACGUGUCGCCUUGACCUCGGUACAGUGACACCCUUAUUUUCCAGUCCCUACCUUGCCUAAAAAUUCCUUUGGUAGACUUUAUUUCACCUUUAACAUGAGGUGGGCGGCCUGGCAGGUGUGUGUGGGAGUUUGAUAGACCAGGUGGGACAGGUAAGAGAGAGAGAGAGAGAGAGAGAGAGAGAGAGAGAGAGAGAGAGAGAGAGAGAGAGAGAGAGAGAGAGAGAGAGAGAGAGAGAGAGAGAGAGAGAGAGAGAGACAGGUAGAAAAGUAGAGAGCAGAAAGAGACAAGGGCAGAGAGAGAGAGAGAGAGAGAGAGAGAGAGAGAGAGAGAGAGAGAGAGAGAGAGAGAGAGAGAGAGAGAGAGAGAGAGAGAGAGAGAGAGAGAGGACAGACAGGUAGAUAAAAAAUACAGGUAGAAAGGUAGACAGGCACACAGAGACAAAGGGAGCGAGCGAGCGCGAGAGAGAGAGAGAGAGAGAGAGAGAGAGAGAGAGAGAGAGAGAGAGAGAGAGAGAGAGCACUGAACAAGCAUUCCCUUUAAUACACAAACAAAGGACCUUUUUCACAGUAACAAAGACCUUAUCACAUAGACAAAGCGAAUUGUUCCAUGCUAACAUACUCAUUUUUUUUUGGGGGGGGGAGGGGAGGGGGGGGGGCGCGGGGGUGUUUACAGAUAUACAAACAACGCUUUUUUUUUAACUUCAAUAACAACAACAACAAAAAAUCUGAAAUGGGAACGCUGUUUUUUUUUUUUUUUGACGAGCUAAUAAAAUGAAAACGAAACAAGAAACAGACGAAAAAAAAAGAAACAGACAAAGACAAGACAAAAAGAGUGAAAAGAAAAAAAACAAAAACAGAAAAAAACGAAAAACAUAGAGAAAAGAAAAAAAACAGAGAAAGGCAAACUAAAUAAAAAACAGACAAAUACAAAACAAAACAAAAAACGGACAAAGACAAAAGCAAAACCAAAAAAAAAAACAGACAAAACAAAAGAAAACAAAAACAGAAAAAAAAACACGUAAAUUAUUUUUCUCUCACUAAUAAAAAGACAUGUAAUAGAAACGCAGAUUUUUUCUCACUCACUAAAAAAAAAAAGAAAAAAAAGCCAUAGCGGAGUUUUUUCACACACUAACAAAAGAAAACAAAAACAAAACAAAAAAAUAAACAUACUUAAAUUACUUUUUUCACUAAUAAAAAGACAUGUAAUAGAAACGCAGAUUUUUUCUCACUCACUAAAAAAAAGAAAAAAUACCAUAGCGAAGAUUUCUUCACACACUAACAAAAGAAAACAAAAAACAAACAAAAAAUAAACAUAGACUUAAAUUACUUUCCUUUCACUAAUAAAAAGACAUGUAAGAGAAACGCAGAUUCAAGAUAUGCAAUGGUCAUUCUUCCUUUCGUCUCAAGGGGUUCAGGGUUGUGUUGUCAGAUCCUCCCACCCCUCACACUAACUAUUUCUAAAGUCCAACAAGGAGGUUAAUCGAGUUCUAAUGAGUGUUCUUUUAGGUUCACGGUACAGAAGAAGGCUCAGACUACCACCAGGGUCAUAAAAGUACCCCUGGAAAUGCCCUAAACCCCCACGAAAGACUAGUAAAUUACGUGUUCUUGGGUGCAGAAAUGUUUUAUAAUACAACCCUAAAAUAAGGUUGGUAUUGUCAAAUGCGUUCGUUCUUUCGAGUUCUAAUGAGUUGUCGAGUUCUAAUGAGUGUUCUUUUAGGUUCACGGUACAGAAGAAGGCUCAGACUAUCACCAGGGUCGUAAAAGUACCCCUGGAAAUGCCCUAAACCCCCACGAAAGACUAGUAAAUUACGUGUUCUUGGGUGCAGAAAUGUUUAAAAAUAUGGUCCCACAGAGCGUCGAUUUGUAUUUUUAUUUAUUAAUUUUAUUUAUUUAUUUUCACUCACAAAAACAAUGACAAAGCGGAUUUUUUUAAUUCAUACACUAAGAAAAAUCAGAAAGGAAAGCAUUUUUUCUCAACAACAACAACAACAACAACAACAAAAAAUACAUAAUAAGACUGCAGAUAUUUUUUUUUCACGAACAAAGAAGAAAAUAUGUAUAAUAGGAAACCGAAUUUAUUUGUUUUUGCUCACGUUCAACAAAUAAAAAAAAAAAUAGGGAGACAGUUUUCUUUCUCUUAUCAACAAAUAAAUAAAUAAAUAAAUAAAUAAGAUAAAUAAAUCGUAUAAUAGGAGUUUUUUCCUCAUAACUAAAAAUAAAAACAAUUAUCCUCUAUCUUUUUCAAGCGCCAAGAUUUUUUCCACUUAAUUAAAAAUAUAGGGAAACAUUUUUUUUUCACAUAUUAAAAAAAAUCAUAUUAUAGGAAAGAAAGUUUUUUUUUUCAUAUGACAGUGAAGCAUUUGUUCUGUUUGUUCAUUUUAUGUUUCCUUAGUGUUUUUGUUUUCUUUUUUGUUCAUUUGUUUCUUUGUUUUUUUGUCCUGUUCAGUUGUUGUUUAUUGUUUUGCUUGAUUGUUAUUUUUUUCGUAAUGUACUUUUUAAAGGCUUGUCUUUGUCUUCAUUUAAAAACAACAACUCAUUAUUAUCUGUAAAUAUUAUUAUUAUUAUUAUUAUUAUUAUUAUUAUUAUUAUUAUUAUUAUUAUUAUUAUUAUUAUUAUUAUUAUAUUUAUUAUUAUUAUUUUUAUUAUCAUUAUUAUCAUUCAUUAUUAUCAUCAUUAUCAACUUCAUUAUCUUACACUGCAGAUGCAUUUUUAACAAAUUCAUUGAUCUGUUAGUUUUUUUCUAUAAUCACAAUGGCAUCACACACACACACACACACACACACACACACACACAAUAUAUAAUAAAUCUACAUAUAUCUUUCAUCUUUUUGUCCAACGUUAGCUAAUAAUGUGACAAAAUAGAUCAUUCUACCAUUCUUCUUCCCUCCUCCUCUAACACAAACACAAACACACACACACACAAAAAAAAAAAAUCACUCAUCUUAACGCCACACUUCUUCCUCUCUAUCACACACACACAAAAGCACAAGGAGAAUAAUAAUAAUAAUAAGAAGAAGAACAAGAAAUACAAGAACAACAAGAACAAAAACAAAACAUGCUCUAACACAUCCC